UGAUCCAUCUUAUGGUGUCCCUCUUUAUAUACCGGUAACGUGCAUCAAGUUUCCGUUUGUUAUGUUAAUCUCAUUAAAUUAAAACGAGUGCAGGACUACAAAAGCAUCAAGAUGAAGUUCGUAAAGAUUAUAACACUGCUUGUGCUCAUUAUUGCAUUCAACAUGGGUGAGAACAAUGUCAAAUGCGAUGAGAUCAGCGUCAUGGGUAACCAAGUGCUUCGGGACUGGUAUUGCUGUAGAAGAUUUAAAUCACGAUGUAUAAAAUGGUGCAGAAACAGGGAAAGAUGGAUGCAAUUUUGAUCUGUCAGCGAAGAAAUAAAUCAUGAAAAUAAAUGUUGGAAUAAUAUACAAUUGAUAUUGAUUUUUGUUAUGUUUGUUUAUUAA